ACUUAGAGACUAAACAACAACAAAUGUUCAAGGUAUGCUCCCAACCGGCUCAGGCCCAGGAGAGGAGGCUGUGGUCCAUGGCCCUACAGGCCCCCAGCUGUGGGUAUGCGGGCCAGCCUGGCUUAACCAUCACAAGCUUAGUUUUCAGGGGGAUACAUAUUUUCAAAGGGUGGGUAAGGGUGGGUGUUUAGUUUCUGCUUUUUCCUGUUUUCUCUAGGAG
rnacentral:lncRNA from 1 species